GAUGAAGAACGUAGCGAAAUGCGAUAAGUAGUGUGAAUUGCAGAAUUUAGUGAAUCAUCGAAUCUUUGAACGCACAUUGCGCCCUAUAGUAUUCUGUAGGGCAUGCCUGUUCGAGCGUUAUUGAGACCUCAAGCUCUGCUUGGAAAUGGGCGCUUGUCUUGCCUUGCAGACUCGCCUUAAAACCAUUGGCAGCUGAUUUACAAUGUUUGGUGCACAGUACACGAGCCCAAGUGUUGCAAUGAGUGGCCCAAAAGUAUACAAUAGAAGCUUAACCUCGGAUCAGGUAGGGAUACCCGCUGAACUUAAGCAUAUCAAUAAGCGGAGGA
rnacentral:misc_RNA from 1 species